GCUGCUGUAGCUCAGUGGUGGAGCACGUCCUUGGUAAGGACGAGGCCAUGGGUUCGAAUCCCAUCAGCAGCUCCA
rnacentral:tRNA from 1 species